rnacentral:rRNA from 1 species
UACGGGAGGCAGCAGUGAGGAAUAUUGGUCAAUGGACGGAAGUCUGAACCAGCCAUGUCGCGUGAAGGAUGAAGGUACUAUGUAUUGUAAACUUCUUUUGCCUGGGGGUAAAGUGGGUCACGUGUGGCCUAUUGCAAGUACCAGGCGAAUAAGCAUCGGCUAACUCCGUGCCAGCAGCCGCGGUAAU